rnacentral:lncRNA from 1 species
AAUUAAGAAGCAUAUAAUAAUAUUUCCGGAACUUAAAAAUGAAGAAAUAUAUUUUUUAACCAAUUAAAACAAAGGAGAAAGGAGAAAAUUCAUGAAAAAUAGAAAAUCCAUGAAAUAAAAUGUGAAAAAAUAAAAAUCAGAUGAAGAAAAAUAAAAAAGAAUUUUAGAAAGUAUUUUGAGAUUUUUUGGAUAAAAAAUGAAAUUACUAUGAAUUUUGAAAUAAAA